UAGGGAAUCUUCGGCAAUGGACGAAAGUCUGACCGAGCAACGCCGCGUGGGUGAAGAAGGUUUUCGGAUCGUAAAACUCUGUUGUUAGAGAAGAACAAGGACGUUAGUAACUGAACGUCCCCUGACGGUAUCUAACCAGAAAGCCACGGCUAACUACGUGCCAGCAGCCGCGGUAAUACGUAGGUGGCAAGCGUUGUCCGGAUUUAUUGGGCGUAAAGCGAGCGCAGGCGGUUUCGUAAGUCUGAUGUGAAAGCCCCCGGCUCAACCGCGGAGGGUCAUUGGAAACUGGGGGACUUGAGUGCAGAAGAGGAGAGUGGAAUUCCAUGUGUAGAGGUGAAAUGCGUAGAUAUAUGGAGGAACACCAGUGGCGAAGGCGGCUCUCUGGUCUGUAACUGACGCUGAGGCUCGAAAGCGUGGGGAGCAAACAGG
rnacentral:rRNA from 1 species